CUGGGAAACAGAGUUCGAUUCUGGCUCAGAUUGAACGCUGGCGGAUGCUUUACACAUGCAAGUCGAACGGCAGCACGGACUUCGGUCUGGUGGCGAGUGGCGAACGGGUGAGUAAUGUAUCGGAACGUGCCUAGUAGCGGGGAUAACUACGCGAAAGCGUAGCUAAUACCGCAUACGCCCUUCGGGGAAAGCGGGGACCUUCGGGCCUCGCAAUUAUUAGAGCGGCCGAUAUCGGAUUAGCCAGUUGCGGGGUAACGGCUCACCAAGGCGACGAUCCGUAGCUGGUUUGAGAGGACGACUGAAUACACUGGACUGAGAUGACGGCCCAGACUCCUACGGAGGCAGCAGGGAAUUUUGGACAAUGGGGAAACCCCGAUCCAGCCAUCCCGCGUGUGCGAUGAAGGCCUUCGGGUUGUGGUGCCACCUCGGCAGGAGAACGGCACGGGAUAAUACCCCGUGCAACUGACGGUACCUGCAGAAUAAGCACCGGCUAACUACGUGCCAGCAGCCGCGGUAAUACGUAGGGUGCAAGCGUUAAUCGGAAUUACUGGGCGUAAAGCGCGCAGGUUCGAAAGAAAGAUGUGAAAUCCCAGAGCUUAACUUUGGAACUGCAUUUUUAACUACCGAGCUAGGAGCGUGUCAGAGGGAGGUGGAAUUCCGCGUGGCAGUGAAAUGCGUAGAUAUGCGGAGGAAUACCGAUGGCGAAGGCAGCCUUCCCGGGAUAACACUGACGCUCAUGCACGAAAGCGUGGGGAGCAAACAGGAUUGGCUGACUUGGUAGUCCACGCCCUAAACGAUGUCAACUAGCUGUUGGGGCCUUCGGGCCUUGUAGCGCAGCCAACGCGUGAAGUUGACCGCCUGGGGAGUACGGUCGCAAGAUUAAACCCAAAGGAAUUGACGGGGACCCGCACAAGCGGUGGAUGAUGUGGAUUAAUUCGACGCAACGCGAAAACCUUACCUACCCUCGACACAGCGUCUGGAACUCUGAAGAGAUUUGGGAGUGCUCGCAAGAGAACCGGAACACAGGUGCUGCAUGGUUGUCGUCAGCUCGUGUCGUAGAUGUUGCUUAAGUCCCGCAACGAGCGCAACUCUUGUCAUUAGUUGCUGAUGAAAGGGCACCUCUAAUGAGACUGCCGGUGACAAACCGGAGGAAGGUGGGGAUGACGUCAAGUCUCAUGGCCCCUAUGGGUAGGGCUUCACACGUCAUACAAUGGUCGGGACAGAGGGUCGCCAACCCGCGAGGGGAGCCAAUCCCAGAAACCCGAUCGUAGGUCCGAUCGCAGUCUGUAACCUGGACCGGUGAAGUCGGAAUCGGUUAGUACAAUCGCGGAUCAGCAUGUCGCGGUGAAUACGUUCCGGGUCUUGUACACACCGUUCGUCACACCAUGGGAGUGUCUACCAGAAGUAGUUAGCCUAACCGUAAGGAGGGCGAUUACUACGGUAGGAUUCAUGAUCAGUGAAGUCGUAACAGCGUAG
rnacentral:rRNA from 1 species